rnacentral:tRNA from 1 species
GUGGCAGUGCGUGGCCGAAUGGUUACGCUGUCCGCUUUGUAAGCGGAUGAUUCUGGGUUUGAUUCCCAUCUGAUACA